rnacentral:lncRNA from 1 species
UGGAGGUGUGAGGUGUAGACAGAGAUGAUGAGGUUCAUGUAGAGAGAGGUGGUGAGAUGUAUAUGGUGGUAUGGGGUAUAGAUGGAGGUUCUGAGGUAUUGACGGUGGUGUAAGGUGGAGAUGGUGAGGUGUAUAUGGAAGUGAUCAGAUGUAGAUGGAAGUGUGAGGUGUAGAUGGGGGGUGAAGUGUAGAUGGAAAUGUGAUAUGUGAAUGGAGGUGGUGAGGUUUACAUGGAAGUGAUGAGAUGUAGAUGGAGGUGGUAAGUUGUAGACAGAGGUGUGAGGUGGAGAUGGAGAUGGUGAGGUAGUGUAUGGUGGUGUGAAGUAUAGAUGGAGGUAUGAGGUAUACAUGGUGAUGAGGUGUGGACAAGGGUGGUGAGGUGUAGAUGGUGAUGGUGAGGUAUAGAAGGAGGUGUGUGGCGUAGGUAUAGGUGGUGAGAGAUAGGUGAGGGUGGUGAGGUGUAGAUGGUGGUCGUGAGGUGUAGAUGGAGGUGGUGAUAUCUAGAUGGAGGUAGCGAGGUCUAGAUGGAGGUGUGUGAUAUAGGUGUAGGUGAUGAGGUAUAGGUGAGGGUGGUGAGGUGUAGAUGGUGAUGGUGAUGUCUAGAUGGAGGUGAUGAGGUCUAGAUGGAGGAGUGUGGUGUAGGUGUAGGUGGUGAGGUAUAGGUGAGGGUGGUGAGGAGGUCUAGAUGGAGGUGUGUGGUUUAGGUGUAGGUGGUGAGGUAUAGGUGAGGGUGGUGAGGUCUAGAUGGUGGUGGCAGUGAGGUCUAUAUGGAGGUGCUGAUGUCUACAUGGAGGUGGUGAGGUCUAGAUGGAGGCAGUGAGGUCUAGAUGGAGGCGGUGAGGUCUAGAUGGAGGUGUAUGGUGUAGGUGUAGGUGGUGAGGUAUAGGUGAGGGUGGUGAGGUCUAGAUGGUGGUGGUGAGGUCUAGAUGGAGGUGGUAAUGUCUAGAUGGAGGUGGUGACGUCUAGAUGGAGGUGUGUGGUUUAGGUGUAGGUGGUGAGGUAUAGGUGAGGGUAGUGAGGUGUAGAUGGUAGUGGUGAGGUGUGGAUGAGGGUGUGAUGUGUAGAUAGAGGUGGCAAGGUGUAGAUGGAGGAUGUGGAGGCAGUGAUAGUGAUGAAGGAAGGAGUUAGAAGGCCUUGUGCAUGAAGAAAUAGAAGAUUGUUGUUGCUAUUAUGCUGAUAAAUGUGGAAGAACCUGUCCUCCUUUGAUUACACAUGUGAAAUGGUGAAAUUUCACCAUUAGGAGUCUGGAGACCCUUAUUCUUUCAGAGCCAUGGUACCUUUGGGAAAUCACCUCUCUGGGCCUCAGUGUUCUUGGAGCAGAGUUUGCUCUAUUAAAUGGCAUUUGUCAGGGGGAAAUCUACCUCUCUCCCUCCAAGCACUUUUGCCUCACCUUAUAAAGUGGGAACUUCUGUCCUUGCUGCAGCCUUGAGAAAAGUACUCUCCACUUACUGCUCUACCUCUAAACUCAUGCUAUCUAGCAGAGGAUGAGUGGUUCGUGUGCUUGGAGAAUUGGAGCACAUAAAAUGGGCAUAUGUCAUGACUCAGGUUCUUCUGGAUUUCCUCCUUCUGGGAACAGCCUCCUCAGAGAAGGCCUGUGCUUCCCUCCUCUCCUCUUCUUUUCAACCUGCCCUAGGAAGGGCAGGUUCUUGCGUUGUGGGAUAGGGGAGUCUUCCAGUUCUG